CAUUAUCUCUACUCAUUGCUUGAUUACACUUAUAUCCAUAUUCCAACUGUUAAUGCAAUCACACCAAUCUAGAAACACUUCAAAUUAGAUUAGUCAUAUAAUUUCUGUACAUAAACUAAAUUGGUUUUGUCAGUAAUACUCUAUUAAGGAAAUUUAGUGGAGAUGAUAAAGUUCCUCUUAAGAAAGGAGAAAACUAUUUUAUUUGCACUAAACGUGGAUGCUGUGAUGACAACAUGAAAAUGAUGAUCGUGACACUUUACGCUAGGACCACUUAUGUUGUUGGGUGGACCAAAGAAAACAAUGGUAGUUGGUUUACUAAUGGAACGAUCUUCCAUGAUGGUGAUUCACUCGAGUUUGUAUACAACCAAACGGAUUACAAUGUGGUUGCCGUAGACAAACAUGCUUAUGAAACAUGCAGAGCACCAGAAGGCGCUUUCAAAUAUAACAAUGGAGAUGAUACAGUCUAUCUUAAUAAAGGAGAAAACUAUUUUAUUUGCACUAAACGUGGCUGCUGCGAAAACAGCAUGAAAAUGAUGAUUGUUGCGGUGGCAGGACAGUGACAAACAGAAGGGGAAGAGACGGGAUAGGUCAGGUCAGGACAAUCAGGUUAAGAGUUGGGUCAGGUCAGGUUAGAAGGGACUAUUUUUGGAACUAUAUUAAAGGAUCAACGAGGUAUAUAAAGCAGACAAACAAAUACAUUAUGAUGUAUCUAUUUAACAUUAUGAUUACUGUUUUUCAAAGCAUAUUUAUAGUAGAUGUGGACACUGGAUGGUAGAUGAAAGUGUUAAACCACGGAUUUGCUGUAAUGUGAUAUAAUUUAUUUUUUAAAAUUUA